AAAAUCCAAAACAUCAACACUCUCAACUUAUGGCAAUUUCUUGUCCUCAAGCAACUCAAAACCAAGAUGUAUAUAUGAACGACAUCAUGAUGGGUAUUUCCCAGUCAAACCAGCACGAUCAUACAAUUAUUCAAUUGGCUAUUCGGCUAUGUUAUCUCAACACAUAUGGAUCUACUACUGGCAUUAACUACAAAUCAACAUAUUACAGCCACAUAUACAAUACCCC
rnacentral:lncRNA from 1 species